GAAGAGGCGGAGGAUUUUGUAUUUUUUAUUUUUUUUAAGAGGUGGACGAGUCCGAAGACCACAACCGCCCUGACGUCACGAUAUCACGUGCUGGUGGCAAGGAAAUUUCUUUCUUUCAACACUUUCAUCAUUUCAUCAUCAAGAAAAGAAGAACAAGAAAAAUGAAGUAGAAGGAAGGAUUCCUCUGCGGUUGCUCGCAGGGUGCGUCCAAGCUGGCAUGGCAACGAUGAGGCAAUGUCACCACUGGGCUGGAAAACCACCCAAGCCUCUCAGUACCCAAAGAAUGUCUGGUGAGAAAACUGGAGCGAUGACAUCAUCACAGCGCGACAGCACUACCCCCAGCCAAACAAGUCAGACAUUCCUUUUAAGGUGGAAUGUUUCAUCACAAAUGCCACAUAUUGUAUUUGUAUUGAGCUACAUUGUUAUGUAAGGUGUAUUUUUGUACUUUAAAGUUUUUGAAAGUCUUUUUGAAUGUGAAU